rnacentral:lncRNA from 10 species
CCUGCAUCAAGGACACACAAAGGCACACUUUAGAAAAUUACUUUUAUGUACACAACCAUGAAUUCUGAUUUUUAUGGAAGAAUGACAAAUAGUUGCAAAUAUUUAAAAAACAACACAAAAUUUCAACCACAUUCCAUUCCAUUCUCGCAGAAACACCAGUUGCCUCAGCUCUGCGAUUUGUAUCACUUUGGUGCAAAAGUGUGAGAAACAAUGUUGUAAUUUUUACCGUGUUUCCAUCCAAGCCUCCACAUGCUGUCAGAAUGUUGCAUUUUUAAGAGAGAAGUUUGGAAGGGGUGAUCAGAUUGCUAUGAUACACCAUGGCAGAACUUCAAG